GAAGGAGACCUACUCAUCUAAUACUUGAAAGCGAUUUGCGAAUAGAGUUUGGAGAGAGUCACCUAAGGUCGUUGAGGGUUUUGUUGGUUAUUGUGAUUAAGUUCACCUUUCUUCUGAAUUAUUCGGGUGUUGCUGAGAGCAGCAGAUAAGCACCGGCAAGAGCGGGCUAUUAGCUCAGGUGGUUAGAGCGCACCCCUGAUAAGGGUGAGGUCCCUGGUUCGAGUCCAGGAUGGCCCACUUUCGAACUAGAUAGGGUUUGAGAUAGAUGGGGGUAUAGCUCAGCUGGUAGAGCGCCUGCUUUGCAAGCAGGAUGUCAGCGGUUCGAGUCCGCUUACCUCCACCAAGAAUGGACAGGCGACGAGAAUAGGAGUGAAGCGAAAGCAAUCAGCAACUAGAGAUGUGAGUAGACAUCUUGGAUUGCUGGUCUCUUGAGGCUAGCGAGAACCUUGACAACUGCAUAAAAGAAAAGAAAGCAAAGGUAGUUCAAAGUCUGUUGCAGACAUUUGAAAGAAACGAAGCCUAAUGUGCUGAGUAAGUUAGUUGUGAGAGUAGCGAGAGCUAUUAGCGCGAAUGGUUUAUUCGGUUGCAUCAGCAAUCGACCUUCAUCUAUCCAUGAAGGCA
rnacentral:tRNA from 1 species